AGAUGAUGUGACUCUCAUUUCCUACCUGGUCCCUGCUCACAUGGGGAAUUUUGACAUCUCACUUGUCCCAGUGCCAAACAAAUGUGACUCUUCAUAAGUUCUGCUUGCGAGAGAUAUUAAGACAUCUUGUGGAGCUUAACAACAAUGUGACAUUACUGUUUUGUCUUGGCCUGGACCUCAAAAGGCAUUGUGACAUAUUGCUGGGCCCAGCAACAAGGUGUGAUUUUGACAUACACCUCUGCCUUGCACCUGAGUAAUGUGACUCUUUAGCACCAGCACAGCCUACAGAUAGGAUUGUGCCACACUGCUGGACCCAGCACCUAGGUGACGUAACUCUAUUCUCCUGCUUUGGUGCUACCCAAAAAGGACAUUGUAACAUAUCUCAGAGCCUUGCUCCCAGGUGAUGCUACUCUCUACUUAUGGCUGGGCCUUGACAAAAAGAGGGAUUGGGACAUAUCCCUGGACGCUGAACCUAAGAGGUGGAGGUUGCCGUGGUGACAGAGUGAGACUUCGCCAAAACAAAACAAAAAAAACAACAACAAAAAGGGGUACUUUCUGCCCACAAAUGAGAUUGUGGCAUCUAACCCUAAGGUGAUGUUACUUCUUUGCUCUGGCUGUGCCCUUAGAAAACACUGAAACAUACUGCUGGGUCCAGCACCAAGAUUAUGUGAGUUUUCUGCCUGAACCCUGACCACAGGAAGCAUUGUAACAUAUCUCUUGACCCAUUGCAAUUUCUCCUAUGGGCAAAGCCCAGGUAAAUGCCUUCUUUUUUC
rnacentral:lncRNA from 1 species